UACGAAGGGGGCUAGCGUUGCUCGGAAUCACUGGGCGUAAAGCGCACGUAGGCGGAUUGCUAAGUCAGGGGUGAAAUCCUGGAGCUCAACUCCAGAACUGCCUUUGAUACUGGCGAUCUUGAGUCCGGAAGAGGUGAGUGGAACUCCUAGUGUAGAGGUGGAAUUCGUAGAUAUUAGGAAGAACACCAGUGGCGAAGGCGGCUCACUGGUCCGGUACUGACGCUGAGGUGGCGAAAGCGUGGGGAGCAAACAGG
rnacentral:rRNA from 1 species